rnacentral:rRNA from 1 species
AUGGCCUCGCGACGCCGCACGCUCCUCAAGGUCAUCAUCCUCGGCGACAGCGGGGUCGGGAAGACGUCCUUGAUGAACCAAUAUGUGAACAAGAAGUUCAGUAACCAGUACAAGGCCACCAUCGGCGCGGAUUUCCUCACGAAGGAGGUGCAAUACGAGGACAGGCUCUUCACUCUGCAGAUAUGGGAUACUGCUGGACAGGAAAGGUUUCAGAGUCUUGGUGUUGCAUUCUACCGUGGAGCAGACUGUUGCGUUCUAGUUUAUGAUGUCAAUUCAAUGAAAUCAUUUGAUAAUCUGAACAACUGGCGCGAAGAAUUUCUGAUCCAGGCUAGUCCGUCUGAUCCUGAUAACUUCCCUUUUGUUCUGCUGGGAAACAAAGUUGAUAUUGAUGGUGGCAACAGCCGCGUGGUCUCUGAGAAGAAGGCAAAGGCUUGGUGCGCCUCAAAAGGCAACAUCCCAUACUUUGAGACAUCUGCGAAAGAAGGAACAAAUGUAGAAGACGCUUUUCAGUGCAUUGUAAAGGAUGCUCUGAAGAAUGAACCAGAAGAAGAAUUGUACAUUCCUGACACUGUCGAUGUGGUGGGUGGCAACCGCACCCAAAGAUCAUCAGGCUGCUGUUAA